rnacentral:rRNA from 1 species
AACGAACGCUGGCGGCAUGCCUAACACAUGCAAGUCGAACGAGACCUUCGGGUCUAGUGGCGCACGGGUGCGUAACGCGUGGGAACCUGCCCUUAGGUUCGGAAUAACUCCCCGAAAGAGGUGCUAAUACCGGAUAAUGUCUUCGGACCAAAGAUUUAUCGCCUUUGGAUGGGCCCGCGUUGGAUUAGCUAGUUGGUAGGGUAAAUGCCUACCAAGGCGACGAUCCAUAGCUGGUCUGAGAGGAUGAUCAGCCACACUGGGACUGAGACACGGCCCAGACUCCUACGGGAGGCAGCAGUGGGGAAUAUUGGACAAUGGGCGAAAGCCUGAUCCAGCAAUGCCGCGUGAGUGAUGAAGGCCUUAGGGUUGUAAAGCUCUUUUACCCGGGAUGAUAAUGACAGUACCGGGAGAAUAAGCUCCGGCUAACUCCGUG